AAUAGAAAGAUUCGCAGAAAUAGGCGCGUAUUGCGACCAUUCUCACAUAUACACCAUUCUGAAAUUUCCACUCAUAUCAAUACCGAAAUAUGAAAUUCAGAAUGUAAUUCCUCUACCUAUCCCAGAUCCAAAUAACAGGUUUGUUCUUUCCACCUGAACUUCUGGCACUAGUUCAAAAAGUGUACACUAAAGCGUUCUUUUUAGCAGAAAUGACGUCAGUAGUCACUGUUCUUUUCAAUAGUGCAGCAGAACUUAGUGCAAGAGUUCUCUGAACUGCUUGCCCUAGGUCUGGAGGUAGUGCACAGCGUGCAAAGCAGUACGAAGCAGUACAAUACGAGAAGGUGUACAAUUUCUAUUAAAAUAUAAGGAAAUAGAUUUUACUUGCGAUACAUUGCAAUGUACUGUUGAUGACCAAUUAAUAUUUAUUAAAUUACAUGAAAACAUAAAAUCAACAAAUGAUACCAAUGAUCAACAAAAUGAUGAAAAUUAUGGUCAUGAGAACAUUAAUGAUUAUAAUGAAAAUUAUAUUAAUGAAAAUAAUACUAAUGAAGAAAACAAUGGUAAUAAAAUAAAUGAAGAUAAAAGAGAAACAUUUUUUUGGAACGAUGCAACGACAAAAUUGUUCUUGCAAUUAUACAAAGAAAAAAGUGAUUUAUUGGUAAAUAGAAAAAUUAGAACCAAGAAAAUGUUAUGGCAAAAAAUAACCGAAAGUAUGCAAAGAUAUGGAUAUAAUAUUACACUUAUACAAGUAGAAAACAAGUAUAAAUCUUUAGAAAGAAGUUACAAAAAUAUGAUUUUAAAUAAUAAUAAAACAGGCAGAGCUCGCAUAUCAUGUCCAUAUGAAACGCAGUUAACUGAACUUAUGGGUUAUAGGCACAACAUCCGUCCAUUGGCAGUAUCUGGAAAGCAAGGCUUACUUUUACGAGAUGAUGUCCAAAUUAACAAAUCUUUGUAAGUUUUAUAUCAGAUUCAAAAAUAGAAAGUAUUAAUUAUUUGGUAGUAAUAUAAUAAUUUCUAUACGUCUAAAUGAAAUAUAUAAAUAUAUAAUAAAUAUAUAAUUAGUAAAAUAUUUAGAUAACGUAACUGUUUUAUUCAUUAUACACAUACUACAGAACUACAGAAAAUCAAAUUGAUGUCAAUUUGGAAACCGAACCAACAACAUCAAACACUAUAUCGGAAAAUGUCGAACUUCCGCCAAGGGAAUCCUCUUCUCGAGAAGAAAUCUCGAAUAUAACUAUAAAUAACAUUGAAAAUAACUCUUUAAAUCAAUUGCAGACAGUAUCACAUAAUAGGCAAAGAAAAGAAAUAAGUAAUACGACAAGACCUUCAAAAAUGUGGCACAAAACAAUGGAACAACUUUUAAAUAAUAUUCAGGAAGAAAAGGCUAAAAAAAUGAAGUACAACAACAGUUAAUACCGGAAUAUAAAGAGAUGAGAAAUACUUAUAAAGAAUCAAUGAAAAAAAUAGAGGAACAACUAAUGAAGGCAAAUCAAUUAAGAGAAGAAAGAAAUCGAUUAUUAAAAGAAAUUUUUCUUGAAAAUAAACAAGAAAAUCAGUUAUAAAAUUGCAAAAGUUAAAAAUGUUAGAUGCAGAGGUACAAUUUAUAUUACAGUAUAAAAUUAUAAAUGUACAAGUUACAGAUGCAUAGUU
rnacentral:lncRNA from 1 species